CAUUUUGUUUAUUUGCUUUUGUUUUUCUUUUUCUCCAACUACAGUGAGAAUUAAUGAUUAAACAUAUGAACUUGGAGAGAAAAAUGAGAUUCUGAAGCUUGGAAUGGAGGGAAAUGGUAGAAAAGGAUCAGACAGAGAGCCCAGGAAGAUGAGAGUUUAGAGGCAGAAGUAGCAUCUCUUCUGAAAGAAAAGACAGGAAUGAAUGGAGAGCUACCUUGCCAUGAAGAUUCACUACCUUUUCUUUGCUCUUUUAUUUCUUGGCCUGCUGUCUACCUCAGGAACUGAAGAUGCUUAUGAAGUCGUUAGUAUCAUGGAGUGUAAAAAUCAAACACUGUGUAAUUCUCAGAAUACAACUAGACACUGCUCGGAUGGGAAGGAGAUUGGACUAUGUGUCUUGCGUCUUGGAAAAAAUGCAAAGCGACUCACUAACCAUAAAGAAAUAGCAAAUUAGGAAGACAGGAUGAUCAAUUUCCUUGUCUUAUUAAAAUAAAGCCUGCUUUCUUUUCUCUCUCCUUUUA